AACGCCAUUUUAAGUAUUAUGGGCAUCUAUUACUGCUUAACAAGUUCGAUAUUCAUCAUUUUCCUUCACGUGUGAAAACUUCCAAGCCUCCUCUCUUUUUGGUGAUGACUGACGAUAACUAUUCCACCAACAAAGCUCAUUUGUUAAUUUUUGAUAAUUGCUUUUUUUCUAUCUACUUAAUGUAUUUCACGGAGAGGAAAAAUAUUUUGUUUUUUUCCGUCCUUGGAUUCUAAGGGCUGUCAUUAGGUGGCUAAAUAUUUCAGUGUGUUUAGGGAUUGAACUAUUCAACUCUAGUGUGGGUUUCCAGAGGGAUGUAGGGGGGUGGGUCAUCAAACUGUCAAAGACCAAACUGUCAAAGUCCUGAGACGACUGACUAAGCAGUAUUUCUUUUGUUGUCGAGACGCUGUCCGAGAAGGUUGAAUAUUGUCCUUGCUGGGUACUUUCUUACGUGACAUUUUUCACCACACACAUGGAUUUUUUGGUUGGUUUGAUGUUGGAGCUGCCAAUGGUGUUGAUGCAGCGUUCAUGGUGUGAGCAGCGGUUUUGCAGUCAUUUUCCAGUUGAGAUGUCUUGAAAUGGAGCUUGUGCAGACAUUCAGUUCAACAUACUUCAAUGUGUUAUUUACCUAUGUUGAUGUCUUGGUGUCCUUGCCGUGUCGAGGUGCAAAAUAAUUGAUGAUGCCUGGUGGUUGUCGGGCAUGUUUUAUCGGCUGCCUUUUGUCGAUGUGUCGUCUUGUCUCUUGCCGCCUGUACACACGUUAAGUUUAAUCGUUUGCUGCCGUUCCAUCUACUUGAUCCAUUGGUGAAACUGAGACGAGGUUGCAGAAAUUGAAGACUGAUACGUUAUCAGAUUGAGACAAAUUAAAAGUGCAUGCAUGUUCUCCCUUUUCCCUAAGUAAACAGUUUCCGCCAUUGGUUAACAUCUGGUCGAAUGGGAAAUAGCAAUAUUUUUGGAGAAAAAUUAAUGUGACUAUGAAGUAGUUUUCCCUUAUGAUUCGAUCAACUAUCCUUUCAACGUGUUCGCACUUCACAUGUAUAUGACGAAUAUCAAUAUUGUUAAUAAAUAAAAUAUGAAAUCAAA